GCUAAAGCAUCUCAUCAUGAUUAAAGAAAUUCGGAAACGGAUAGGCUCGCGUGACAUUAGCUAGAUGGCGGGGUAACGGCCCACCAUGGCGACGAUGUCUAGGGGUUCUGAGAGGAAGGUCCCCCACACUGGAACUGAGACACGGUCCAGACUCCUACGGGAGGCAGCAGUGAGGAAUAUUGGUCAAUGGUCGGAAGACUGAACCAGCCAUGCCGCGUGAAGGUGACGGCCCUAUGGGUCUUAAACUUCUUUUGUAAGGGAGCAAUAAGGAUCACGUGUGGUCUGAUGAGAGUACCUUACGAAUAAGCAUCGGCUAACUCCGUGCCAGCAGCCGCGGUAAUACGGGGGAUGCAAGCGUUAUCCGGAUUUAUUGGGUUUAAAGGGUGCGUAGGCGGUCUGUUAAGUCAGCGGUGAAAUUUAGGGGCUCAACCUCUACCGUGCCGUUGAUACUGGUAGGCUGGAAUGCGGAUGCCGUGGGAGGAAUGUGUGGUGUAGCGGUGAAAUGCAUAGAUAUCACACAGAACACCGAUUGCGAAGGCAUCUCACGAAUCCGCGAUUGACGCUGAUGCACGAAAGCGUGGGGAUCAAACAGGAUUAGAUACCCUGGUAGUCCACGCUGUAAACGAUGAUGACUAACCGUCGGCGAUAUACAGUCGGUGGCCAAGCGAAAGCGAUAAGUCAUCCACCUGGGGAGUACGACCGCAAGGUUGAAACUCAAAGGAAUUGACGGGGGCCCGCACAAGCGGAGGAACAUGUGGUUUAAUUCGAUGAUACGCGAGGAACCUUACCCGGGCUCGAACGGCAGAUGCAUUGAGUAGAGAUAUUCAAGUCUUCGGACAUCUGUCGAGGUGCUGCAUGGUUGUCGUCAGCUCGUGCUGUGAAGUGUCGGCUUAAGUGCCAUAACGAGCGCAACCCUUGCCGUUAGUUGCCAUCAGGUUAAGCUGGGGACUCUAGCGGGACUGCCACCGCAAGGUGUGAGGAAGGGGGGGAUGACGUCAAAUCAGCACGGCCCUUACGUCCGGGGCGACACACGUGUUACAAUGGUGGGUACAGAGGGAAGCUACCUGGCGACAGGAUGCAGAUCUCGAAAACCCAUCCCAGUUCGGAUUGGAGUCUGCAACCCGACUCCAUGAAGUUGGAUUCGCUAGUCCCAG
rnacentral:rRNA from 1 species